rnacentral:rRNA from 1 species
ACUUAGCAGUGAAGGGAUAUUGGUCAAUGGGGUAACCGCUGAACCAGCAACUUGGAGGAAUGUAUAGGGAAAACCGGUAAAAGGUAAUGUACCUACUAAUAUUAGCAAUUAAUAUAAGAUUAACAGAGUUAAUUAAAAUUCGAAGCAGAUGUCUGAUAAUGACAAUAUUUGUUUAUAUCUUGACCAAGUCACGUGCCAGCAGUCGCGGUAAUACGUGGAAGAUUAGUGUUAUUCAUCUUUAACAGGUUUAAAGGGUACCUAGACGGUUAAUUAAGCAUUAAUAUGUACUAAUUAACUAGAGUUUAAUGUAAGAAGGAUUGAGUACGGUGAGUGAAGAGAUAAAAUUUUGUGAUACCACUUAGGAACUGGUAAAGGCGAAGGCAACCUUUUAUGUAAAAACUGACGUUAAGGGACGAAGGCUCGUUAAAAAGAACAGGAUUAGAUACCCUAGUAUUGUGAGCAGAAAAUGAUGAGUGUCAUAUGCAAGAAAAUUUUGUGUAUAAACGAAAGUGUAAGCACUCCACCUCAAGAGUAACAUGGCAACGUGGGAACUGAAAUCAUUAGACCGUUUCUGAAACUCGUAGUGAAGUAUGUUGUUUAAUUUGACAAUCCGCAAAUAACCUUACCACAAUUUGAAUAACCAUAUACCAUAUCAUUAGGUAUGGCAUUAUACGGUUACAAGUGUUGCACGGCUGUCUUCAGUCAAUGUUGUGAAACAGUGGUUAGAUCCAUUAAAUUGACGUAAACCCUUACUUUAUUUAUUAUAAAGUAGUUCGCCGCUAUAUUGGUAGUGAUAUAAGGGACUAAGACAAGUCAUCAUGACGUUAUCCUUGUGGGCUAUAGACGUGCCAC